UGGGGAAUAUUGGACAAUGGGGGGAACCCUGAUCCAGCCAUGCCGCGUGUGUGAAGAAGGCCUUAUGGUUGUAAAGCACUUUAAGCGAGGAGGAGGGUACUGGUAUUAAUACUACCAGCUACUGGACGUUACUCGCAGAAUAAGCACCGGCUAACUCUGUGCCAGCAGCCGCGGUAAUACAGAGGGUGCGAGCGUUAAUCGGAUUUACUGGGCGUAAAGCGUGCGUAGGCGGUUUCUUAAGUCUGAUGUGAAAGCCCCCGGCUCAACCGGGGAGGGUCAUUGGAAACUGGGAGACUUGAGUGCAGAAGAGGAGAGUGGAAUUCCAUGUGUAGCGGUGAAAUGCGUAGAUAUAUGGAGGAACACCAGUGGCGAAGGCGGCUCUCUGGUCUGUAACUGACGCUGAGGCUCGAAAGCGUGGGGAGCAAACAGG
rnacentral:rRNA from 1 species